GGCCAGGUGGCUCAGUUGGUUGGAGCAUUGUCUCAUAAACCCAAAGGUUGCAGGUUCAAUUCCUGGUCAGGGCA
rnacentral:tRNA from 1 species